rnacentral:rRNA from 1 species
AUUGAACGCUGGCGGCAGGCCUAACACAUGCAAGUCGAACGAGUGGCGGACGGGUGAGUAAUGUCUGGGAAACUGCCCGAUGGAGGGGGAUAACUACUGGAAACGGUAGCUAAUACCGCAUACCAUCGGAUGUGCCCCGAUGGGAUUAGCUUGUAGGUGGGGUAACGGCGCACCUAGGCGACGAUCCCUAGCUGGUCUGAGAGGAUGACCAGCCACACUGGAACGUAGACACGGCCCAGACGCCUACGGGAGGCAGCAGUGGGGAAUAUUGCACAAUGGGCGCAAGCCUGAUGCAGCCAUGCCGCGUGUAUGAAGAAGGCCUUCGGGUUGUAAAGUACUUUCAGCGGGGAGGCGUUACCCGCAGAAGAAGCACCGGCUAACUCCGUGCCAGCAGCCGCGGUAAUAC